rnacentral:rRNA from 1 species
AGAGUUUGAUCCUGGCUCAGGACGAACGCUGGCGGCGUGCCUAAUACAUGCAAGUAGAACGCUGAAGAGAGGAGCUUGCUCUUCUUGGAUGAGUUGCGAACGGGUGAGUAACGCGUAGGUAACCUGCCUUGUAGCGGGGGAUAACUAUUGGAAACGAUAGCUAAUACCGCAUAACAAUGGAUGACACAUGUCAUUUAUUUGAAAGGGGCAAUUGCUCCACUACAAGAUGGACCUGCGUUGUAUUAGCUAGUAGGUGAGGUAACGGCUCACCUAGGCGACGAUACAUAGCCGACCUGAGAGGGUGAUCGGCCACACUGGGACUGAGACACGGCCCAGACUCCUACGGGAGGCAGCAGUAGGGAAUCUUCGGCAAUGGGGGCAACCCUGACCGAGCAACGCCGCGUGAGUGAAGAAGGUUUUCGGAUCGUAAAGCUCUGUUGUAAGUCAAGAACGAGUGUGAGAGUGGAAAAUUCACACUGUGACGGUAGCUUACCAGAAAGGGACGGCUAACUACGUGCCAGCAGCCGCGGUAAUACGUAGGUCCCGAGCGUUGUCCGGAUUUAUUGGGCGUAAAGCGAGCGCAGGCGGUUUGAUAAGUCUGAAGUUAAAGGCUGUGGCUCAACCAUAGUUCGCUUUGGAAACUGUCAAACUUGAGUGCAGAAGGGGAGAGUGGAAUUCCAUGUGUAGCGGUGAAAUGCGUAGAUAUAUGGAGGAACACCGGUGGCGAAAGCGGCUCUCUGGUCUGUAACUGACGCUGAGGCUCGAAAGCGUGGGGAGCGAACAGGAUUAGAUACCCUGGUAGUCCACGCCGUAAACGAUGAGUGCUAGGUGUUGGAUCCUUUCCGGGAUUCAGUGCCGCAGCUAACGCAUUAAGCACUCCGCCUGGGGAGUACGACCGCAAGGUUGAAACUCAAAGGAAUUGACGGGGGCCCGCACAAGCGGUGGAGCAUGUGGUUUAAUUCGAAGCAACGCGAAGAACCUUACCAGGUCUUGACAUCCCGAUGCUAUUUCUAGAGAUAGAAAGUUACUUCGGUACAUCGGUGACAGGUGGUGCAUGGUUGUCGUCAGCUCGUGUCGUGAGAUGUUGGGUUAAGUCCCGCAACGAGCGCAACCCCUAUUGUUAGUUGCCAUCAUUCAGUUGGGCACUCUAGCGAGACUGCCGGUAAUAAACCGGAGGAAGGUGGGGAUGACGUCAAAUCAUCAUGCCCCUUAUGACCUGGGCUACACACGUGCUACAAUGGUUGGUACAACGAGUUGCGAGUCGGUGACGGCAAGCUAAUCUCUUAAAGCCAAUCUCAGUUCGGAUUGUAGGCUGCAACUCGCCUACAUGAAGUCGGAAUCGCUA